ensembl:lncRNA
CAAAGAGGAAUUAUUCUGAAAAAAAUAAGGACUCAGUUCAGUUAACACCUCCUGCAAUCCCCCUCUCCACACCUCCUGCUCUUCAAAUCUGUGAAGAUGAUGUGCGCCAGGUCUUCAGGAAGAACAAAAGAAGAAAAGCACCAGGCCCAGAUGGCGUUACACCAGCCUGUCUGAAAACCUGUGCUGAUCAGCUGGCCCCCAUCUUUUUACAGAUCUUCAACAGAUCUCUGGAGUUGUGUGAAGUGCCUUCCUGCUUCAAACGCUCCACCAUCAUCCCCGUUCCGAAGAAACCUAAGAUUACAGGACUUAACGACUACAGACCUGUGGCUCUAACAUCUGUCGUCAUGAAGUCGUUUGAAAAACUGGUUCUGGCUUAUCUGAAGGACAUCACUGGACCCUUACUGGACCCCCUGCAGUUUGUUUACCGAGCAAACAGGUCCGUGGAUGAUGCAAUCAACAUGGGAUUGCACUUCAUCCUGCAACAUCUGGACAAAACAGGGACUUAUGUGAGGAUCCUGUUUGUGGACUUCAGUUCGGCUUUCAACACCAUCAUCCCAACAGUCCUCCAGACCAAACUGACCCAGCUCUCUGUUCCUAGUUCUAUCUGUCAGUGGAUCACCAGCUUUCUGACAGAUAGGCAACAGCUAGUGAGACUGGGGAAAUUCAUGUCCAACAGCUGCUCCACCAACACUGGUGCCCCUCAGGGAUGUGUUCUCUCCCCCCUGCUCUUCUCGCUGUACACCAACGACUGCACCUCAAAAGACCCCUUUGUCAAGCUCCUGAAGUUUGCAGACGACACCACACUCAUCGGUCUCAUCCAGGACGGUGACGAGUCUGCUUACAGACAAGAGGUUGAGCAGCUGGCUGUCUGGUGCAGUCUUAACAACCUGGAGCUGAACACGCUCAAAACAGUGGAGAUGAUCGUGGACUUCAGAAGAAACCCCCCUGCACUCCCCCCACUCACCAUCAUGAACAGCACUGUGGCUGCAGUGGAGUCAUUCAGAUUCCUGGGAACCACCAUCUCUCAGGACCUGAAGUGGGACAAUCACAUUGACUCCAUUGUUAAAAAGGCCCAACAAAGGCUGUACUUCCUUCGCCAGCUGAGGAAGUUUAACCUGCCACAGGAGCUGCUGAAACAGUUCUACUCAGCCGUCAUUGAGUCUGUCCUGUGCACUUCAAUAACUGUNNNNNNNNNNNNNNNNNNNNNNNNNNNNNNNNNNNNNNNNNN